CCCUUCCUCCUCGCUCCUUCCCGGCUGCCAGGCCCCUCCGGAGCCCCUUUGUGAGGUAAUUGCAUUUCUCCCCUUGUUAGCUUGCAAUGAAAAUGUCAUCUCUUCCAGGCCACCGCCAGGGAGGGGCCGAGGCCCCAUUCAGAGGCAGGGCCCGAGCUGUGAAGCUAUUCAGGCCCGCCGCCGGCCCGUGGGGCAGCUGCCGCCCGCCCGUCUUCCCAGAAAACGCCCCGCCCUCUGCGCCGCAGCGGCCCCGACCGGGCAGGCGACCGGUGGCCGGAAUCCGAGGCCCGCUGGAUUGCUGUAGCCAUACGGGAGGGGACCGGGAGAGAAUGGUUUCAUCAAUGCCUGCAUUUUAGACACUGACUCAGGACUCCUCCAACAGGUACAGAGGAAACUGCCCAGGCCCUGGACCCCAUCAGAUCCUGUGCCCUGUGGUCUCCUUGUUCAUCUGCCAGGUCACUCAGCCCCAGCCACGCUGGCCACCCCAGGGCCUCUGCACUCGCUGUUCUGUCUGCCAAGGACCCUCUUCUCCCAGAUACCUGCCCGGCUCGCACCCUCGCUUCCUUCAGGGUUUAACUCUGAAUCCACCUUCAAAAAACCGCCAUCCUCCACACUGCUGCUUUGCACACUGUUUCCUCCUGAGUUCUCUUGUCAGUUUCCCUCAUGGUAAUGUUACCUUCCGGUGGGCAGAGACUUCUUAGAGUUUUUUUUACCUCUGGAACCUAGAACUGUGUCUGGCGCACAGUAGGUUCUCAACCAGUAUUUGCCGAAUGAACAAAUGGGUGAAUGGAUGCAGGUUGGGCUUCCACAUCUGAACACGGACAAGUUCAGGUUCC